UCCAAACCAUUCCUCACCCUCAGUUGGCCCAUUCUGAUGAAGGUGUCCCACGCAGAAACGUAAACCUAUUUGUUUGUCCCGUAAAUAAACUCAGACACCAACAUCCAUGCAGACACCCAGUGUUCGUAUUUCUUUAUUUUCCCUUCCUGGAUAGUCUGUUGAACUGUCCUGGACUAAGUAAUGAAUGUUUUUGGAUUAUCAAGUCAGAGUGCAUUCUGACGGGCUGUACGGAAACUGCACCGCCCUCAACCACAAGGCUCUCCACAGGGUGGUGUGGUCUGCACAACGCAUCACCGGUGGCAAACUACCUGCCCUCCAUGACACCUACAGCACCCAAUGUCACAGGAAGGCCAAAAAGAUCAACUACAACAACCACUGCCUGUUCACACCGCUAUCAUCCAGAAGGUGCAACCCAACAAGCACAAAAUGUACUUGGCAGCAACUGAAGACGAAAUAUGGAAAUAUACUUCAAACAGACAAUAGAAAAAAGGCUGAGGGCCGAAAAACAAGUGGGGAUGGCCCUCAGUCAAAACAGUGGGUGACCUAUCUCUGGAGGAAGCACAUCUGACCCAACCACCCCCCAGGACACAAGGGCCUACAUAAGAGGAGGAUGAUGAAGACAGCUUGUCAGCGUUACAGAGAGGGAUGAUACAGAGAGGGACGAUACAGAGAGGGACGAUACAGAGAGGAACGAUACAGAGAGGGACGAUACAGAGAGGGACGAUACAGAGAGACCUAUUGAGGUUCACACCUUAAAAAUAACAUCUAGCAGUUGAUGAUAGUGUUGUACCAUAAUAAAACUUUCACCUUUGCUCUAACACAGCAAUUCUGGAAAUUACAACGAGGAAGAGGGUCCAUCCACCUCCACAGCACAACUUACCUCAGUAAGAUGUUGUUCAGCAUUGGCCCAUGACACUAAGUAGACCUUGCACUAUGAAAUUAAAUGUCAUUUUUUUUGUUCCUAUAGCUCCCUGUGAAACAGCUGUACAAGGUGUACUUAGAGAAACACAUUGAAGAAUGUCAUUUAGACAUUGACCACAUAAGGCUGCAGAUGCAAAAGAUAAAAAUAGAAAUACAACUGCUAGAACAUCAGUUAAAGGUGGGUGAGGUGCCCACAGGUAGAACAUCACUUAAAGGUGGGUGAGGUGCCCUCAGGUAGAACAUCACUUAAAGGUGGGUGAGGUGCCCACAGGUGGAUGAUUUCACUUGUUUGAACAACAUAAACAAUAUGAACGACUGUACUGAUUUGUACUUGCAGGAA